rnacentral:rRNA from 1 species
GACGAACGCUGGCGGCGUGCCUAAUACAUGCAAGUCGAGCGGACCUCUUCGGAGGUCAGCGGCGGACGGGUGAGUAACACGUGGGCAACCUGCCUGUAAGACUGGGAUAACUCCGGGCAACCGGAGCUAAUACCGGAUACUAUGUCAAACUGAAUGGUUUGACAUUCAAAGACGGUUUCGGCUGUCACUUACAGAUGGGCCCGCGGCGCAUUAGCUAGUUGGUAGGGUAAUGGCUCACCAAGGCGACGAUGCGUAGCCGACCCGAGAGGGUGAUCGGCCACACUGGGACUGAGACACGGCCCAGACUCCUACGGGAGGCAGCAGUAGGGUAUCUUCCGCAAUGGACGAAAGUCUGACGGAGCAACGCCGCGUGAGUGAUGAAGGUUUUCGGAUCGUAAAACUCUGUUGUCAGGGAAGAACAAGUGCCGGAGUAACUGCCGGCACCUUGACGGUACCUGACCAGAAAGCCACGACUAACUACGUGCCAGCCGCCGCCGUAA